AACGAACGCUGGCGGCAUGCCUAACACAUGCAAGUCGAACGAGACCUUCGGGUCUAGUGGCGCACGGGUGCGUAACGCGUGGGAACCUGCCCUUAGGUUCGGAAUAACUCCCCGAAAGGGGUGCUAAUACCGGAAAAUGUCUUCGGACCAAAGAUUUAUCGCCUUUGGAUGGGCCCGCGUUGGAUUAGCUAGUUGGUAGGGUAAAAGCCUACCAAGGCGACGAUCCAUAGCUGGUCUGAGAGGAUGAUCAGCCACACUGGGACUGAGACACGGCCCAGACUCCUACGGGAGGCAGCAGUGGGGAAUAUUGGACAAUGGACGAAAGCCUGAUCCAGCAAUGCCGCGUGAGUGAUGAAGGCCUUAGGGUUGUAAAGCUCUUUUACCCGGGAUGAUAAUGACGGUACCGGGAGAAUAAGCUCCGGCUAACUCCGUG
rnacentral:rRNA from 1 species